rnacentral:misc_RNA from 1 species
ACACCUCAACUCUCAUGGCUUGCCAUGAUGAGCUUGGACUUUGGGGGUCUUGCUGGCCUGCGGUCGGCUCCUCUCAAAUGAAUCAGCUUUCCAGUGUCUGGUGGCAUCACGGGUGUGAUAAACAUCUACGCUCGUGGUCCUCCACCAUGUAACCUUCAGUGAUGGAGGUUUGCUGGAGCUCACAAAUGUCUUCCCUCGGUGAAGACGCCCCUUUGAUU